CUCCUGGAGAUGCUCGCGCUCUAUCACCUCCAUCACGGCGUUCGCUAUCGCGCAGGACACGGGAUUACCGCCAUACUGAACCGUGGAAAACGAGACACCAAACACGACGGAGAACGUUUGAAGAAUCCUCGAACGGAGGCCGGAAGCUGUUCAUUUCGAAAUUUCGUCGAGAAUAAAGUGAAACGAGAGGGCGUUUGCAAUGGAGUGUGCAAAGGAUCGCGUAACAGGAGCGCAGUCGAGCUUGCAGUUUACAAACCUAACUCCCCUCUUCCCCGAUGAUCCAACAGCAUUGUAAACAGAGAAUGCGUUGCUUAAAGGUGAGUUUGCCGUGGGCUAUUACAUGUACGUGCCUUUGAGUUAAAUUUUCAACGAUAAAACAGUGUAGCAGCGUGCAACAACGGUGAGAUCACAGAAUUUUCAGACGAUGAACAGCAUCCUCUUCGUACAUAGGAUCUGUCGCUUUUAUGGAAACGUUUCACAGAAACUUCGACGAGAUACUGCUUUGACUUUGCGUACUAAAAACAAACAAGAAUUAUUUGUACCAUUCUCGCAAUAAUACGAUAAAUGCAAAUCUUAAUAGGAUUUACGGAUCUUAAUUUUUUCUCAUGUAUCGAAUUUACUGUUCAAAUACCAAUCAACGGACAAAUAUUACGCGCGAGUUAGUUGAUCGAAAUAUCUUGGAGCCACCAGUUUCAUUACUCGGUGUUUCGUCUUACGUUUAAUUUUCUAUUUAAAGAUAUCUCGUCACGAUAGAUCGCGUCCAAGUAUCGAUUCAACUAGCCGUGGAUUCAAGGAUUGAUAAAUACGAGUUACGUUU